rnacentral:rRNA from 1 species
GGAAAAGAAAUCAACCGAGAUUCCCCCAGUAGCGGCGAGCGAACGGGGAGGAGCCCAGAGCCUGAAUCAGCAUGUGUGUUAGUGGAAGCGUCUGGAAAGGCGCGCGAUACAGGGUGACAGCCCCGUACACAAAAGCGCAUGUGCUGUGAGCUCGAUGAGUAGGGCGGGACACGUGGUAUCCUGUCUGAAUAUGGGGGGACC